rnacentral:rRNA from 1 species
AAGGGCACCACAAGAACGCGUGGAUCAUGUGGCUUAAUUUGACUCAACGCGGGAAAUCUUACCGGGUCCGGACACACUGAGGAUUGACAGGUUAUGGGGCGGGUUGAAUUUCAAUCUCUUCGGGGAUUAAUUUUCUCCCACCUCAAAAAUAUGCUAGUCCUUUCAUGAUUAUGUGAUAGGUGGUGCAUGGCCGUUCUUAGUUCGUGGAGUGAUCUGUCUGCUUAAUUGCGUUUCACUAAAGGCGUCAUUAAUUUUUUGUGCCUGUGUUUGACCCCGCACUUCGGUGCGCGCGCGUCUUUCACACACAAUUACUUUGACGUCUGAAAGCAACGAACGUGACCGUAACCUCUUGUUGCCUUCUCUUCUCUUCGGAGAAUGCUGCUUUAUACCUUCACGGGUGUGUUGCAGUAUACGGAGGCUUAAUACUCAGUAACUAGAGGGACCGCUGUUACUUUCUUUAAACCAGAGGAAGGUUGCGGCAAUAACAGGUCUAUGAUGCCCUUAGAUGUUCCGGGCUGCACACGUGAUACAUUGAUUACUUCAGUGAGUAUCUACGUAUUACUGCGCAGCAGUAUACGCGUGUUGUUUAUUGCUUCGGCAAUUUACUUUGCGCUAUACGCCGCCUUAACCUACUUCGAAAGUAUGUGGGUAACCAAUUAGAAGUAGUGAUUUCCCUCUUUAUAAGCACACUUAUAUGGAGCAUCAUCACCCGGCAUGCCUUGUGCAUGUUUUGUGUGUGUUGUUUGUCUACAUGUGCUUUUGUCAAUUCAUAGUGGGGACAGACCAUUGCUAAUUGUUGGUCUCGGUCUUAACUAGGAAUGCCUUGUACGAGUUUUUGGUUCAACAAACCACUCGGAAUACGUCCCUGCCCUUUGUACACACCGCCCGUCGCUCUUACCGAUGGAUUAUAUUAUGAGUUGGCAGGACCGUCCAGGAAAUGCCUGCGAAUAAUGUGAUCUAAAGGAAAGAGAAGU